AGAGUUUGAUCCUGGCUCAGGAUGAACGCUAGCGGCAGGCCUAACACAUGCAAGUCGAACGGUAACAUGAGAGCUUGCUCUUGAUGACGAGUGGCGCACGGGUGCGUAACGCGUAUACAAUCUACCUUUUACAGAGGGAUAGCCCAGAGAAAUUUGGAUUAAUAUCUCAUAGUAUUAUAUUAUGGCAUCAUUAUAUAAUUAAAGAUUUAUCGGUAAAAGAUGAGUAUGCGUUCUAUUAGUUAGUUGGAGUGGUAACGGCACCCCAAGACAGCGAUAGAUAGGGGCCCUGAGAGGGGGAUCCCCCACACUGGUACUGAGACACGGACCAGACUCCUACGGGAGGCAGCAGUGAGGAAUAUUGGACAAUGGAGGCAACUCUGAUCCAGCCAUGCCGCGUGCAGGAAGACUGCCCUAUGGGUUGUAAACUGCUUUUAUACAGGAAGAAACCGCUCUACGUGUAGAGCUCUGACGGUACUGUAAGAAUAAGGAUCGGCUAACUCCGUGCCAGCAGCCGCGGUAAUACGGAGGAUCCAAGCGUUAUCCGGAAUCAUUGGGUUUAAAGGGUCCGUAGGUGGAUAAUUAAGUCAGGGGUGAAAGUCUGCAGCUCAACUGUAGAAUUGCCUUUGAUACUGGUUAUCUUGAGUUAUUAUGAAGUAGUUGGAAUAUGUAGGGGUAGCGGGUGAAAUGCAUAGAUAUUACAUAGAAUACCAAUUGCGAAAGGCAGAUUACUAAUAAUAUACUGACACUGAUGGACGAAAGCGUGGGGAGCGAACAGGAUUAGAUACCCUGGUAGUCCACGCCGUAAACGAUGGUUACUAGCUGUUCGGACUUCGGUCUGAGUGGCUAAGCGAAAGUGAUAAGUAACCCACCUGGGGAGUACGUUCGCAGAUGAAACUCAAGGANUGA
rnacentral:rRNA from 1 species